rnacentral:rRNA from 1 species
UACGGAGGGGGCAAGCGUUAUCCGGAAUCACUGGGUUUAAAGGGUGCGUAGGCGGCUUGAUAAGUCAGGGGUGAAAGCCCGCAGCUUAACUGCGGAACUGCCUUUGAUACUGUCGAGCUUGAAAGAGGUUGAGGUCAGCGGAACGUGACAUGUAGCGGUGAAAUGCAUAGAUAUGUCACAGAACACCGAUUGCGAAGGCAGCUGGCUUGACCGACUUUGACGCUGAGGCACGAAAGCGUGGGGAGCGAACAGG